GAAUGCUGACAUAAGUAACGAUAAAGCGGGUGAAAAGCCCGCUCGCCGGAAGACCAAGGGUUCCUGUCCAACGUUAAUCGGGGCAGGGUGAGUCGACCCCUAAGGCGAGGCCGAAAGGCGUAGUCGAUGGGAAACGGGUUAAUAUUCCCGUACUUGGUGUUACUGCGAAGGGGGGACGGAGAAGGCUAUGUUGGCCGGGCGACGGUUGUCCCGGUUUAAGCGUGUAGGCUGGUUUUCCAGGCAAAUCCGGAAAAUCAAGGCUGAGGCGUGAUGACGAGGCACUACGGUGCUGAAGCAACAAAUGCCCUGCUUCCAGGAAAAGCCUCUAAGCAUCAGGUAACAUCAAAUCGUACCCCAAACCGACACAGGUGGUCAGGUAGAGAAUACCAAGGCGCUUGAGAGAACUCGGGUGAAGGAACUAGGCAAAAUGGUGCCGUAACUUCGGGAGAAGGCACGCUGACACGUAGGUGAAGUGAUUUACUCAUGGAGCUGAAGUCAGUCGAAGAUACCAGCUGGCUGCAACUGUUUAUUAAAAACACAGCACUGUGCAAACACGAAAGUGGACGUAUACGGUGUGACGCCUGCCCGGUGCCGGAAGGUUAAUUGAUGGGGUCAGCGCAAGCGAAGCUCCUGAUCGAAGCCCCGGUAAACGGCGGCCGUAACUAUAACGGUCCUAAGGUAGCGAAAUUCCUUGUCGGGUAAGUUCCGACCUGCACGAAUGGCGUAAUGAUGGCCAGGCUGUCUCCACCCGAGACUCAGUGAAAUUGAACUCGCUGUGAAGAUGCAGUGUACCCGCGGCAAGACGGAAAGACCCCGUGAACCUUUACUAUAGCUUGACACUGAACAUUGAGCCUUGAUGUGUAGGAUAGGUGGGAGGCUUUGAAGUGUGGACGCCAGUCUGCAUGGAGCCGACCUUGAAAUACCACCCUUUAAUGUUUGAUGUUCUAACGUGGACCCGUGAUCCGGGUUGCGGACAGUGUCUGGUGGGUAGUUUGACUGGGGCGGUCUCCUCCUAAAGAGUAACGGAGGAGCACGAAGGUUGGCUAAUCCUGGUCGGACAUCAGGAGGUUAGUGCAAUGGCAUAAGCCAGCUUGACUGCGAGCGUGACGGCGCGAGCAGGUGCGAAAGCAGGUCAUAGUGAUCCGGUGGUUCUGAAUGGAAGGGCCAUCGCUCAACGGAUAAAAGGUACUCCGGGGAUAACAGGCUGAUACCGCCCAAGAGUUCAUAUCGACGGCGGUGUUUGGCACCUCGAUGUCGGCUCAUCACAUCCUGGGGCUGAAGUAGGUCCCAAGGGUAUGGCUGUUCGCCAUUUAAAGUGGUACGCGAGCUGGGUUUAGAACGUCGUGAGACAGUUCGGUCCCUAUCUGCCGUGGGCGCUGGAGAACUGAGGGGGGCUGCUCCUAGUACGAGAGGACCGGAGUGGACGCAUCACUGGUGUUCGGGUUGUCAUGCCAAUGGCACUGCCCGGUAGCUAAAUGCGGAAGAGAUAAGUGCUGAAAGCAUCUAAGCACGAAACUUGCCCCGAGAUGAGUUCUCCCUGAGACUUAAAGUCUCCUGAAGGAACGUUGAAGACGACGACGUUGAUAGGCCGGGUGUGUAAGCGCAGCGAUGCGUUGAGCUAACCGGUACUAAUGAACCGUGAGGCUUAACCUUACA
rnacentral:rRNA from 1 species